rnacentral:rRNA from 1 species
UUAAGCGACUAAGCGUACACGGUGGAUGCCCUGGCAGUCAGAGGCGAUGAAGGACGUGCUAAUCUGCGAUAAGCGUCGGUAAGGUGAUAUGAACCGUUAUAACCGGCGAUUUCCGAAUGGGGAAACCCAGUGUGUUUCGACACACUAUCAUUAACUGAAUCCAUAGGUUAAUGAGGCGAACCGGGGGAACUGAAACAUCUAAGUACCCCGAGGAAAAGAAAUCAACCGAGAUUCCCCCAGUAGCGGCGAGCGAACGGGGAGGAGCCCAGAGUCUGAAUCAGUGUGUGUGUUAGUGGAAGCGUCUGGAAAGGCGCGCGAUACAGGGUGACAGCCCCGUACACAAAAAUGCACAUACUGUGAGCUCGAUGAGUAGGGCGGGACACGUGGUAUCCUGUCUGAAUAUGGGGGGACCAUCCUCCAAGGCUAAAUACUCCUGACUGACCGAUAGUGAACCAGUACCGUGAGGGAAAGGCGAAAAGAACCCCGGCGAGGGGAGUGAAAAAGAACCUGAAACCGUGUACGUACAAGCAGUGGGAGCACGCUUAGGCGUGUGACUGCGUACCUUUUGUAUAAUGGGUCAGCGACUUAUAUUCUGUAGCAAGGUUAACCGAAUAGGGGAGCCGAAGGGAAACCGAGUCUUAACUGGGCGUUAAGUUGCAGGGUAUAGACCCGAAACCCGGUGAUCUAGCCAUGGGCAGGUUGAAGGUUGGGUAACACUAACUGGAGGACCGAACCGACUAAUGUUGAAAAAUUAGCGGAUGACUUGUGGCUGGGGGUGAAAGGCCAAUCAAACCGGGAGAUAGCUGGUUCUCCCCGAAAGCUAUUUAGGUAGCGCCUCGUGAAUUCAUCUCCGGGGGUAGAGCACUGUUUCGGCAAGGGGGUCAUCCCGACUUACCAACCCGAUGCAAACUGCGAAUACCGGAGAAUGUUAUCACGGGAGACACACGGCGGGUGCUAACGUCCGUCGUGAAGAGGGAAACAACCCAGACCGCCAGCUAAGGUCCCAAAGUCAUGGUUAAGUGGGAAACGAUGUGGGAAGGCCCAGACAGCCAGGAUGUUGGCUUAGAAGCAGCCAUCAUUUAAAGAAAGCGUAAUAGCUCACUGGUCGAGUCGGCCUGCGCGGAAGAUGUAACGGGGCUAAACCAUGCACCGAAGCUGCGGCAGCGACGCUUAUGCGUUGUUGGGUAGGGGAGCGUUCUGUAAGCCUGUGAAGGUGUGCUGUGAGGCAUGCUGGAGGUAUCAGAAGUGCGAAUGCUGACAUAAGUAACGAUAAAGCGGGUGAAAAGCCCGCUCGCCGGAAGACCAAGGGUUCCUGUCCAACGUUAAUCGGGGCAGGGUGAGUCGACCCCUAAGGCGAGGCCGAAAGGCGUAGUCGAUGGGAAACAGGUUAAUAUUCCUGUACUUGGUGUUACUGCGAAGGGGGGACGGAGAAGGCUAUGUUGGCCGGGCGACGGUUGUCCCGGUUUAAGCGUGUAGGCUGGUUUUCCAGGCAAAUCCGGAAAAUCAAGGCUGAGGCGUGAUGACGAGGCACUACGGUGCUGAAGCAACAAAUGCCCUGCUUCCAGGAAAAGCCUCUAAGCAUCAGGUAACAUCAAAUCGUACCCCAAACCGACACAGGUGGUCAGGUAGAGAAUACCAAGGCGCUUGAGAGAACUCGGGUGAAGGAACUAGGCAAAAUGGUGCCGUAACUUCGGGAGAAGGCACGCUGAUAUGUAGGUGAAGUCCCUUGCGGAUGGAGCUGAAAUCAGUCGAAGAUACCAGCUGGCUGCAACUGUUUAUUAAAAACACAGCACUGUGCAAACACGAAAGUGGACGUAUACGGUGUGACGCCUGCCCGGUGCCGGAAGGUUAAUUGAUGGGGUCAGCGCAAGCGAAGCUCUUGAUCGAAGCCCCGGUAAACGGCGGCCGUAACUAUAACGGUCCUAAGGUAGCGAAAUUCCUUGUCGGGUAAGUUCCGACCUGCACGAAUGGCGUAAUGAUGGCCAGGCUGUCUCCACCCGAGACUCAGUGAAAUUGAACUCGCUGUGAAGAUGCAGUGUACCCGCGGCAAGACGGAAAGACCCCGUGAACCUUUACUAUAGCUUGACACUGAACAUUGAGCCUUGAUGUGUAGGAUAGGUGGGAGGCUUUGAAGUGUGGACGCCAGUCUGCAUGGAGCCGACCUUGAAAUACCACCCUUUAAUGUUUGAUGUUCUAACGUGGACCCGUGAUCCGGGUUGCGGACAGUGUCUGGUGGGUAGUUUGACUGGGGCGGUCUCCUCCUAAAGAGUAACGGAGGAGCACGAAGGUUGGCUAAUCCUGGUCGGACAUCAGGAGGUUAGUGCAAUGGCAUAAGCCAGCUUGACUGCGAGCGUGACGGCGCGAGCAGGUGCGAAAGCAGGUCAUAGUGAUCCGGUGGUUCUGAAUGGAAGGGCCAUCGCUCAACGGAUAAAAGGUACUCCGGGGAUAACAGGCUGAUACCGCCCAAGAGUUCAUAUCGACGGCGGUGUUUGGCACCUCGAUGUCGGCUCAUCACAUCCUGGGGCUGAAGUAGGUCCCAAGGGUAUGGCUGUUCGCCAUUUAAAGUGGUACGCGAGCUGGGUUUAGAACGUCGUGAGACAGUUCGGUCCCUAUCUGCCGUGGGCGCUGGAGAACUGAGGGGGGCUGCUCCUAGUACGAGAGGACCGGAGUGGACGCAUCACUGGUGUUCGGGUUGUCAUGCCAAUGGCACUGCCCGGUAGCUAAAUGCGGAAGAGAUAAGUGCUGAAAGCAUCUAAGCACGAAACUUGCCCCGAGAUGAGUUCUCCCUGACCCUUUAAGGGUCCUGAAGGAACGUUGAAGACGACGACGUUGAUAGGCCGGGUGUGUAAGCGCAGCGAUGCGUUGAGCUAACCGGUACUAAUGAACCGUGAGGCUUAACCUU